rnacentral:misc_RNA from 1 species
GUAGGUGAACCUGCGGAAGGAUCAUUACAUAUCGAGCCAGUUUCCACGUCGAAGAUGGCGGAACGGAGAUCGCAGAUCGAAGAUCUGUGGUCGAUGAUCCGACGUCGAAGAUGAUGGAAACGGCGCAAACAUCCUGUUGAAAUACUAUUGUUGCCGGAUUGAAAUCGAUUGUGAACAUUCAUGACCGAUCGAGCUACGGCAAUGAUUUGAACAAACCAUAUGAUAGCAUACAAGGAUAGAUUGAUAAAUG